AAGGAAUAUUGGUCAAUGGACGAAAGUCUGAACCAGCCAUGCCGCGUGGAGGAUGAAGGUCCUCUGGAUUGUAAACUUCUUUUAUAUGGGACGAAAAAAGGGUUUUCUAACUCGUCUGACGGUACCAUAUGAAUAAGCACCGGCUAACUCCGUGCCAGCAGCCGCGGUAAUACGGAGGGUGCAAGCGUUAUCCGGAUUCACUGGGUUUAAAGGGUGCGUAGGUGGGUUGGUAAGUCAGUGGUGAAAUCCCCGAGCUUAACUUGGGAACUGCCAUUGAUACUAUCAGCCUUGAAUACCGUGGAGGUCAGCGGAAUAUGUCAUGUAGCGGUGAAAUGCUUAGAUAUGACAUAGAACACCAAUUGCGAAGGCAGCUGGCUACACGAAUAUUGACACUGAGGCACGAAAGCGUGGGGAUCAAAC
rnacentral:rRNA from 1 species